rnacentral:rRNA from 1 species
UACGUAGGGUGCAAGCGUUAAUCGGAAUUACUGGGCGUAAAGCGUGCGUAGGUGGUUGAUUAAGUUAUCUGUGAAAUCCCUGGGCUUAACCUGGGCAGGUCAGAUGAUACUGGUUGACUCGAGUAUGGGAGAGGGUAGUGGAAUUUCCGGUGUAGCGGUGAAAUGCGUAGAGAUCGGAAGGAACACCAGUGGCGAAGGCGGCUACCUGGCCUAAUACUGACACUGAGGCACGAAAGCGUGGGGAGCAAACAGG